rnacentral:rRNA from 1 species
UACGGCGGUCAUAGCGGUGGGGAAACGCCCGGUCCCAUUCCGAACCCGGAAGCUAAGCCUGCCAGCGCCGAUGGUACUGCCACCGAAGGGUGGUGGGAGAGUAGGACACCGCCGGACAUCUGUUGUGGGGGGCCGGUCCUCCCCGUCACACCCCCUUUU